UACGGUUGCAAAGCUGAAACUUAAAGGAAUUGACGGAAGGGCACCACCAGGAGUGGAGCCUGUGGCUUAAUUUGACUCAACACGGGAAACCUCACCCGGUCCGGACACUGGAAGGAUUGACAGACUAAAGCUCUUUCUUGAUUCAGUGGGUGGUGGUGCAUGGCCGUUCUUAGUUGGUGGAGUGAUUUGUCUGGUUAAUUCCGAUAACGAACGAGACUCUCGCCUGCUAAAUAGUUUUCCAUACGUUACUUUAUGGAACCUAAAACUUCUUAGAGGUACAAGUGGCGUUUAGCCACACGAAACAGAGCAAUAACAGGUCUGUGAUGCCCUUAGAUGUCCGGGGCCGCACAUGUGCUACAAUGAAUGCAUCAACGUGUAUCAGCCUCGCCCGAAAGGGUUGGGGAAUCCGCUGAACGGCAUUCUCAGUAGGGAUUGGGGAUUGCAAUUAUUUCCCAUGAACACGGAAUUCCCAGUAGGCGCCAGUCAUCAGCUGGCGUCGAUUGAGUCCCUGCCCUUUGUACACACCGCCCGUCGCUACUACCGAUCGCUCUUGUUAAUGAGCUUGUCGGAUUGGACCCGGUGAGCAGUCGUUGCGCUUCAUCUCCUCGCGGGGUGGGCCUUCGUCUGCGAGCUUUUGGUGUAUGCCGAGAAGAUCGGCAAAUUAUCUGGAGUAGAGGAAGUAAAAGUCGUAACAAGGUAUCCGUAGGUGAACCUGCGGAUGNNNNNNNNNNAAUAAAAGGCUCCGGGAAGGGAAACCCGGGUUAAGAAAAACUCCCGUACAUAGAUACGUACUACUCUGUGCGGUGGAUCACUCGGCUCGUGUGUCGAUGAAGAGCGCAGCUAGCUGCGAGAAGUAAUGUGAAUUGCAGAACCACAUUGAAACAUCGACAUCUUGAACGCACAUGGCGGCCUCCGGGUUACUCCGGAGGCCACGUCUGUCUGAGAGUCGGAAUUGUAGUGCUUUAAAAAUCGGCGGUCACCACCAAAAUAUAUGUCGUAUACAAUAGACACGAUAGGUGGAUGUCCGCGAGGGUUGCUUCUCGGUAGAAAGAUACAUACAAAAAGUAAAAGAGAAGCCGCCGAGUGGCGAGUUGUUGAAAGUAGCCC
rnacentral:rRNA from 1 species